rnacentral:pre_miRNA from 1 species
CUAGCCGGAAACCAUGGGGUGGUGGGUGUUAUGUAUUUUUUUUUUUAUGAAAAAUUAAUAAAUGAGACUGAAAUCUAAAGGUGAUUAUUGUGU